CAGUAGCCACGGGAAUACAGAGGGUGCAAGCGUUAAUCGGAAUUACUGGGCGUAAAGCGCGCGUAGGUGGUUUGUUAAGUUGGAUGUGAAAUCCCCGGGCUCAACCUGGGAACUGCAUCCAAAACUGGCAAGCUAGAGUAUGGUAGAGGGUGGUGGAAUUUCCUGUGUAGCGGUGAAAUGCGUAGAUAUAGGAAGGAACACCAGUGGCGAAGGCGACCACCUGGACUGAUACUGACACUGAGGUGCGAAAGCGUGGGGAGCAAACAGGAUUAGAGACCCCCGUAGUCCCUGUCUCUUAUAC
rnacentral:rRNA from 1 species